ACUCGAUAUAUUUGUCUACAGGUUUCUGGCAGGAUUUCUGAAAUAAUGCAAGAUGAUAUUAGAACAAGCAAAUGUAUACUUUCUGAAAUCCUCAAGGAUUUCAAAACAGCAGUCUAUUUUGGACACAUAUAACAAUAUGGCCUUAUUAACAAUUAUUUAUAUAAACGUCCACUCAGAUACAAAAUGUUCAUCUAUAUAAGAAGUGGUUUCAGAAAGGACCAAAUAUAAUCUUCUAGCGUAGGAAUAUUAAUAUUUUAACCUUAGGUUCAAGAAGCUAAAAAUAUAUCUAAUUUAAAGACUGAGUUUAGGCAGGAAAGUAUUCCAGAAGAUUUUACUUUCAAUAAAAUCUCUGUAGAGACUCUAUAUGCAAUUCUACUUUCAAUUUGUAGAAAUUAUUAUAAAAUAAAUACAUUUAUAAUGCACUGUCAUUGAUAAAUUGUUGCCUCUUGGCUAGAUGGCCCCGACUUUAUGGUUCUUGGCACAUGAUUUGGAGAAAAGUAUUCAGCAAAGUCACCUUGUCCCCAGAACUAUUGAGAGCUCCAAGUAGGCACUCACUGUGAGUCUGGAAUGUAUCCCCCAAAGAUAAGGGGGACUACUGGAAUGGCUCCAAUUCAAAUACGCAACAUUUGGAAACUUUGAGAAGAUAAAAUAGAAGAGUGAUGAGUGUAAAAACAUUCUAGGCUGUCCUUUUAAUUAAAGUGAUGGAAGAAAAAUGAAGUGCACUGAAGAAUAUUAACCCUGCAAUUCAAAUGUAAUAAAACAUUGGAUGUGUUCCCAAUUUAAA